AGAGUUUGAUCAUGGCUCAGGAUGAACGCUAGCGGCAGGCCUAAUACAUGCAAGUCGAACGAUACUUUCCAGCUUGCUGGAGAGGAAAGUGGCGCACGGGUGCGUAACGCGUAUGCAACCUACCUUCAUCAGGGGGAUAGCCCGGAGAAAUCCGGAUUAAUACCGCAUAAAAUCACAGGAUGGCAUUAUCCAAUGAUCAAACAUUUAUGGGAUGGAGAUGGGCAUGCGUGUCAUUAGCUAGUUGGCGGGGUAACGGCCCACCAAGGCGACGAUGACUAGGGGAUCUGAGAGGAUGGCCCCCCACACUGGUACUGAGACACGGACCAGACUCCUACGGGAGGCAGCAGUAAGGAAUAUUGGUCAAUGGAGGCAACUCUGAACCAGCCAUGCCGCGUGCAGGAAGACUGCCCUAUGGGUUGUAAACUGCUUUUAUCCGGGAAUAAACCUAAAUACGUGUAUUUAGCUGAAUGUACCGGAAGAAUAAGGAUCGGCUAACUCCGUGCCAGCAGCCGCGGUAAUACGGAGGAUCCAAGCGUUAUCCGGAUUUAUUGGGUUUAAAGGGUGCGUAGGCGGCCUGUUAAGUCAGGGGUGAAAGACGGUAGCUCAACUAUCGCAGUGCCCUUGAUACUGAUGGGCUUGAAUGGACUAGAGGUAGGCGGAAUGAGACAAGUAGCGGUGAAAUGCAUAGAUAUGUCUCAGAACACCGAUUGCGAAGGCAGCUUACUAUGGUCUUAUUGACGCUGAGGCACGAAAGCGUGGGGAUCAAACAGGAUUAGAUACCCUGGUAGUCCACGCCCUAAACGAUGAACACUCGCUGUUGGCGAUACACAGUCAGCGGCUAAGCGAAAGCGUUAAGUGUUCCACCUGGGGAGUACGCCCGCAAGGGUGAAACUCAAAGGAAUUGACGGGGGCCCGCACAAGCGGAGGAGCAUGUGGUUUAAUUCGAUGAUACGCGAGGAACCUUACCCGGGCUUGAAAGUUAGUGAAUGAUUUAGAGAUAGAUCAGUCCGCAAGGACACGAAACUAGGUGCUGCAUGGCUGUCGUCAGCUCGCGCCGUGAGGUGUUGGGUUAAGUCCCGCAACGAGCGCAACCCCUAUGUUUAGUUGCCAGCAUGUAAUGGUGGGGACUCUAAACAGACUGCCUGUGCAAACAGAGAGGAAGGAGGGGACGACGUCAAGUCAUCAUGGCCCUUACGUCCGGGGCUACACACGUGCUACAAUGGACGGUACAGAGGGCAGCUACAUAGCAAUAUGAUGCGAAUCUCACAAAGCCGUUCACAGUUCGGAUUGGGGUCUGCAACUCGACCCCAUGAAGUUGGAUUCGCUAGUAAUCGCGUAUCAGCAAUGACGCGGUGAAUACGUUCCCGGGCCUUGUACACACCGCCCGUCAAGCCAUGGAAGCUGGGGGUACCUAAAGUAUGUAACCGCAAGGAGCGUCCUAGGGUAAAACCGGUAACUGGGGCUAAGUCGUAACAAGGUAACCGUA
rnacentral:rRNA from 1 species